AGUGAACGCUGGCGGCGUGCUUAACACAUGCAAGUCGAACGGUAACAGGUCUUCGGAUGCUGACGAGUGGCGAACGGGUGAGUAAUACAUCGGAACGUGCCCGAUCGUGGGGGAUAACGAAGCGAAAGCUUUGCUAAUACCGCAUACGAUCUACGGAUGAAAGCAGGGGACCGCAAGGCCUUGCGCGAACGGAGCGGCCGAUGGCAGAUUAGCUAGUUGGUGGGGUAAAGGCCCACCAAGGCGACGAUCUGUAGCUGGUCUGAGAGGACGACCAGCCACACUGGGACUGAGACACGGCCCAGACUCCUACGGGAGGCAGCAGUGGGGAAUUUUGGACAAUGGGCGCAAGCCUGAUCCAGCAAUGCCGCGUGCAGGAAGAAGGCCUUCGGGUU
rnacentral:rRNA from 1 species